rnacentral:rRNA from 1 species
UACAGAGGGGGCAAGCGUUAAUCGGAAUUACUGGGCGUAAAGCGCACGUAGGCGGCUAUGUAAGUCAGGUGUGAAAUCCCCGGGCUCAACCUGGGAACUGCACUUCGGACUGCAUGGCUAGAGUAUGGGAGAGGAAGGCGGAAUUCCCGGUGUAGCGGUGAGAUGCGUAGAUAUCGGGAGGAACAUCAGUGGCGAAGGCGGCCUUCUGGCCCAAUUCUGACGAUCAGGUGCGAAAGAGUGGGGAGCAAACAGG